UUUUCUUUUAUCUUCAAAAUUGUGGAUUUGGGAGGUUUUCGCCCUUUUGCGGGGGCGGAAGGGGCGUGGCUCAUUUUUUAUAAACACUUGUAACAGUGAUUCACAAGUCUGGAUGCACCAUUUGGUGACUCUAGUUUUUAUGGUAUCUGAGAUCCAGGCGCUCAACAAGACGGACGGACAGAUGGACGGACGGACAGACAGACAUGGCUCAAUCGACUCGGCUAUUGAUGCUGAUCAAAAAUAUAUAUACUUUAUGGCGUCGGAAACGUUUCCUUCAGUGUGUUACAUACUUUGUGCACAAAUAUCGCAGCAGAGUGUGCCCUCAAUACAUGAGAUAUACAUAUGAUUACGGUUCAGAAAAUGUGAUACAAUUAAAAUUGACAAAAAAUAAUCAUAUUUGAAUUGAAAAAUUAUUGGCUAAAGAGUAACUGUGUACUUUUCUUCUUACACGAAAUACAUAGGAUUCCUGUUCAUAAACUCUGGAACAAUCAAACGCUUUUCGUAC
rnacentral:lncRNA from 1 species